rnacentral:rRNA from 1 species
GACGAACGCUGGCGGCGUGCUUAACACAUGCAAGUCGAACGGAAAGGCCCUGCUUUUGUGGGGUGCUCGAGUGGCGAACGGGUGAGUAACACGUGAGUAAUCUGCCCUUGACUUUGGGAUAACUUCAGGAAACUGGGGCUAAUACCGGAUAGGAGCUCCUGCUGCAUGGGGGGGGUUGGAAAGUUUCGGCGGUUGGGGAUGGACGCGCGGCUUAUCAGCUUGUUGGUGGGGUAGUGGCUUACCAAGGCUUUGACGGGUAGCCGGCCUGAGAGGGUGAACGGCCACAAUGGGACUGCGAGACGGCCCAGACUCCUACGGUAGGCAGCAGUGGGGAAUAUUGCACAAUGGGCGGAAGCCUGAUGCAGCAGCGCCGCGUGCGGGAUGACGGCCUUCGGGUUGUAAACCGCUUUCGCCUAUGACGAAGCGUGAGUGACGGUAAUGGGUAAAGAAGCACCGGCUAACUACGUG